AUUUUUAUUUUGACCUAUCAAUUGUUACAAUAUUUUUUGAUCUUUGAUCAUUUUAGAAAAAAAAAAUCACAAAACUUAUAUAAGAAAAGUAAAGUUAAUCUCCAUUUUAAUACAAAACCACUAAUAUCAGCAGUAUUUAGUUAAAAAAUUAAUAAACCAUAUUUUUUUUAAUAUUUAUACAUUAUUAAUUUGAUUAUGGAAUAUGUAUAAAUAACAAUAACUAUUACAAUUUUCGAAUAUAUAAGCACCAAUUCUUGCACAAGUUAACAUCAAUAUUAUACAUAAAAGUAUGUACAAAGCAAAAAGUACCAUUAGUUUCUGUCCCACUAUUGACUGAUAGAGGCUCAGAUAGCAUAAAAGUGAUCAGUCAGAAUACCAAAAUGAUAUUUCCAUCACAUAUUUUAUACAUUGUAUUGUUAUCAGACAAUUUACAAUUUGGUGGGACAGGCUCUAAAUGAUAUAAAUUUAUUUACAUUCUUGAAAUUUGUUACUUUAUAAACCAACCGCAAUGGGCUAGCUUUGACAAUGGCUAGGCCCCUAAAUUAGGGUAGGCCUCAAGUUAUUCUAACCAAUCUGUGUAGAAAAAACUAUAAAAGAGAAAAUUGCAGAUUGUAAACUGUAAGACAUAAAAAAAAUCAAACAAGAAUAUCUCUAACAAUGAGAGUGGUUAUUAGUUGAUGUUAUCUCAUUACCUGUAUGGACAGAAUAUAUAGAAAAUGCACUGAAAGGAUGGCGCUAGUGUGCUAAUUUAGUUUCACUUAUGACCACCGAGACAGUCAUGUCGAUUAUUUUUUUAUAGUAAUCAAUUCCAAUAGUCAUUUCUAAGCCGGUAGAAAUGGUAUUGUGUAUAGAUCGCUUGUUCAAUUUAAUUUGAUCAUAUUUUUUAUGAUUUCUAACUUAUCAAAUCUCAACAAAUAGAGAGACUAUUCAAGUAAUGAAAAUGACUAAACAACACAUUUCCAGUAAAGUCAUAUCUA